GUGGUUUAUGCGAUGAGGCUUUUAUACACGAACGAUGUAUUCCUGCAAAUCAGUGUUGGACCAAUGGAUCCAUAUGGAGGUGUGAUUCAUGUGAUUGGUUAUUUAAUAUGUGUAUGUACCAAACCUUUGCAAUUCAAGAAAAUCUCAAUAUUUAUGAUGCUGAAGGGAUGGACAAUGGCUCGAUAUGUUAUUUUACAAAAAUAAUUACGCGUUAUGAUCUACACAAAAGUUGAAUUCCACACCUAAUUGAUUGACAUUUAUCAAUUUCAAAUGAUGACAUGUCCUUAAUUUCAUCCCAUGUGUCCAUUUGAUUGGUUAAAAAAAUUAUCAAAAAACAUGUCAUUAUUUUGUAUAAUUAUACAUGUCAUUUACUAUCAUUAUUAACUUUAUAUAUAAUAUUAAUUUGUUUAUAUAGUACUUACCAAUCAAACUAUACAUACUUUGGUAUUGAAGAAAGAAAAAUAAUAUUUGUGAUAUUUUUUUGGUUUUGAUUUUCAUUAAGGGUAUUAAAGUAAUUUUCUAGUAAUUAUUUUUUUUUUAUUUUUUUUUGUAUUCAACUAAGCAAAAGUUGGGAUUUGUUAUAGUGAUCCCCUAUUUCAAUAAAUGCAUUUUCACCUCUUUUCUCUUCAUAAAAUAUGCAAAUCGUGAAUUUUUUGUCCACUAAAUAAUAUAAUUUCCCUAGUCCCCUCAACUAUGAUCUUCAAGUACAUCCGGCAAAAAACGAAUUGGAUCAUCAAUUGUUCAUCAAUCAAAGUUUUAACCGAAUAAAUGAUGGUGAGUAGCGAAGUAUAUGGUGGGACCAGUGAACACCUGCAUUUUUUAGGGUAAAAAAUGGAUUAUUGAUCAACAAAUUUGGAUCAUUGAACAACAAAGAGAAAUCGUAGAAUCAUGCACAAAAGAGUAAGUCAGUGUUUACGGAUUAUAAUAAUAAGUUUCCAAGCAUUCCUAUAGAAUUUGAAAUUUGAAAGGGUUCGAUGACGACUCCUUUUGGAGCAGUGUUGUGAGAUGCCGCGUGGCGUAUGCGGUGAGGAUAGUGAGUCUUUACAGCGGUGGAAGCUACUAUUUCCAUCGUUUUAUUUUAUAUGGUUUUUUUGGAGUGGGUAUAUUUGACAAAUAUGUAAAAUGAGCUAAUAGCACAUGCCCCAUGUGUUAUUUAUAACGCGCGUGACUAUGUGAAAUUUGAUUUUACACAGGCGGGACUCACCUUUUUUACGAAUAGAACAAGUGAUCCCGAAGAUCCUGGCUACCACUCGUCGACCGAUGUUAGAAUCCAUCAUUCCGACUUCACUUUGUAUGAGCUGCCCCAGCCCGGUGAAUCAUAUUCUAUUGGUAUGCAUCUCGACCGGUUGAAGAGGUUUGCAUAUCUACUUUACCCCACUGACACUUUCCAGAUCCAAGCCAACGGACCCUAUCGCUCUGAACGAACUUACAAGAUCAUGGCCGAUACUGAUAUGCUCCUUUUUUUAGCAAUUAAUUUAAUUUAUUUUCAGUGUUAAAAAAUCGUUUAUGGUGCUCCUACAGAAAUACUUGCACACUUGCUCAAUCCAAUUAGCAUAUAAGAUAUUUACCAUUUUCGUACCCUCCAAAAUUACAGCCCAGUUUUUUUUUAAUAGGCCUACUGUCCAUUUUUUUCAUUAUCCAUUUGGAGAAGUCAAAGUGAAGCCAUUAAUUUAUUUGAUGAAGCUUGUUAGUGAAAACGAUCUGUGAAACCAAAAGAAAUAAAUUGGAUAGUAUAUGCUUUGGGAAACCAAAAAUAAAUAAAAAAUUAUUGUACAAUUAAUACAAUAGAUGAAAUGAGAGAGAAUUUUGAGAGGGUUUAGGUGUAUUCAGUGUAUAACUUUGAGAGAAUUUGUCAGGUCGUGGAACUCCUGUUUUGUAUCCUGAGCACAAUCAUGAAAUUUAGUCGACCCCUUAUAUAAUGGAAGCCCCUCGUGUGUGUGAUGCUAAAAUCACAAUGCCAGCUCAUGUGUUUGCAAGAAUAUGUAACCAUCUUGGCGAUAAUUUUCCUCGAGUUGUGUUAUCUAUUACCAUGGAAGGAAUGACGAUCUCAGCGAAUGAAACAUAUAUUGUUUAGAACUCUAUGGAGCAGGUUGUUUUUUCUCUUCAUCUAUACUUUAUAUAAAAGUGUGAAUGCUAGGUGGUUUUUUCCAUUUUAUGUAUGGACAAAAAUACCCCAUAAAAUAAUUAAAAUUUCAAGGUCAAUUAAGUAAAAUAGAUAAUAAUUAAAUAGUUCAUUAAUGCAUGUUAAAUACAAUAAUUAAUAAUAUCUGAUUCAUUGAAAAACUGUAAUCACAACAGCUUAAAUCUGUCGGCAAUCGUUGGUUGAACCAACACUCGAUUUGUGAAAUUGCAUUUUAGAAUCAUAAUCAAACUCUUAACUUGGGUUGGUUAAUGGUCUAGGAUUUUUUAAUUGUGAACCCCGGUCGAUUCUGAAUCGUGAACCGUUGGUUCACGACAAUAAUUAAGUCUCCAUUUAAUUUUUCAUUUAUGUUUAAUUUUUCAAUAAUAUUCAUUUGUGCCUUGUACUAAAUAAAAAAAAAAUUAUAAUCCAACUCUUAAUAUUAUGAUUGGUUAAUGGUCUUGUACUUUUGAAUUGUGAACCCUGGUCGAUUCUCACUCGUGAACCAUGGAUUCACGACAAUGAUCAUGUCUCCAUCCAAUUUUUCAUUUAUGUUUAAUUUUUCAUUAAUAUUUAUUUGUCAUUUGUUCUAAAAAU